GUGCCCGCCUCGGCAGCACAUACGCUAAAAGUGGAACAAUACAGAGAAGUUUCGCAUGGCCCCUGUGCGAGGAUGACAGGCAAAUUCAUUAUGCUCUCCACAAAAAC
ensembl:snRNA U6 U6 spliceosomal RNA